rnacentral:rRNA from 1 species
AAUGAACGCUGGCGGCGUGCUUAACACAUGCAAGUCGAACGAGAAAGGGGAGCUUCGGUUCCCUGAGUAAAGUGGCGCACGGGUGAGUAACGCGUGGGUAAUCUACCCUUGAGUUUGGGAUAACGCCUCGAAAGAGACGCUAAUACCGGAUAAGACCACAGGUGCUUCGGCACAAGGGGUCAAAGGUGCUGCAAGGCACUGCUUGAGGAUGAGCCUGCGUGACAUUAGAUUGAUGGUAGGGUAACGGCCUACCAUAUUGUCUACGAUGUCUAGCUGGUCUGAGAGGAUGAUCAGCCACACUGGGACUGGAACACGGCCCAGACUCCUACGGGAGGCAGCAGUGAGGAAUUUUGCGCAAUGGGGGAAACCCUGACGCAGCAACGCCGCGUGAGUGAUGAAGGCCUUUUGGUUGUAAAGCUCUGUCGCCUGGAAAGAAACCACAGAUCAGGAAAUGGGUUUGUGUUGACGGUACCAGGAAAGGAAGGACCGGCUAACUCCGUGCCAGCAGCCGCAGUAACAC